rnacentral:rRNA from 1 species
UUUAAUUGAAGAGUUUGAUCAUGGCUCAGAUUGAACGCUGGCGGCAGGCCUAACACAUGCAAGUCGAGCGGUAACAGAAAGUAGCUUGCUACUUUGCUGACGAGCGGCGGACGGGUGA